rnacentral:rRNA from 1 species
GAUGGAAGGAAGCUUGCUUCCUAAAGUCAGCGGCGGACGGGUGAGUAACACGUGGGCAACCUGCCCCUAAGAUCGGGAUAACUUCGGGAAACCGGAGCUAAUACCGGAUAUGAUUAUGUCUCACAUGAGACAUAAUGGAAAGACGGUUUCGGCUGUCACUUAGGGAUGGGCCCGCGGCGCAUUAGCUAGUUGGUGAGGUAACGGCUCACCAAGGCGACGAUGCGUAGCCGACCUGAGAGGGUGAUCGGCCACACUGGGACUGAGACACGGCCCAGACUCCUACGGGAGGCAGCAGUAGGGAAUCUUCCGCAAUGGACGAAAGUCUGACGGAGCAACGCCGCGUGAGUGAAGAAGGUUUUCGGAUCGUAAAACUCUGUUGUUAGGGAAGAACAAGUACCAUAGUAACUGAUGGUACCUUGACGGUACCUAACCAGAAAGCCACGGCUAACUACGUGCCAGCAGCCGCGGUAAUACGUAGGUGGCAAGCGUUGUCCGGAUUUAUUGGGCGUAAAGCGCGCGCAGGCGGUCUUUUAAGUCUGAUGUGAAAGCCCACGGCUCAACCGUGGAGGGUCAUUGGAAACUGGGAGACUUGAGUGCAGAAGAGGAGAGUGGAAUUCCACGUGUAGCGGUGAAAUGCGUAGAGAUGUGGAGGAACACCAGUGGCGAAGGCGACUCUCUGGUCUGUAACUGACGCUGAGGCGCGAAAGCGUG